GCGGUCAUGGAGAGUCUCCAUCCAGCUGGAUCACUGUCACAGACAAACACACCACCACACCUCCACCUACAUCCACUUCUCCUCCUUCCUCCAUCGCUAGCCCUGGUUCCCCUCUCAUACCUGUGUUGUCAUCUGUUGGAUCAGUCUGUUUUCUGAUCCUACUGGUGUUACUGGUUUUGUUGAUUAGACAACAUGUUCACAGGAAACCUAAAGAUCAAGCUGUGAAAGAAGAGAUCACAUACAGUGACAUUAGAAUAAAACACCGUCAACAACAACCAC